ACAGCUGCAGGAAUUGAUAUUGCAUUUGGCCACACAGUAGAGCACUCUCAACUUCUUUUGGUCUAAAAGAAAUAAACCUCUGUUCCCAUUGCCUUCUUGAAUCCUGUUGCUGUCUGGAAUCUGGCUCAAGGGCAGUAGUGGAGCGCACUGCAUUUGAACCCGCUUUUUGAGGUUAGUUGAAAUCACUCAUUCCCAGCAGAUAGACCUCAUGGAGCAUGUGGUAUGUAGUUUGAGGGCAUUUUGCCACAUACCAAAUGCUCAGGGAUGGAUGGCUGCUCU
rnacentral:lncRNA from 11 species